UCUCUCGGUACAAUUUUUUUUUAACCAAAAUUUAUUAUUAAUCAGGUCUCUGCACAAGACGAACAGAGAUCAAUAAAAGAGAAAUUACAUAAUAGAGGUGUCGUAUAUAUACGAAACACCGAAAAUAAACACCACAUAAACAGGUCUACUUCCUAAUCCCAUAAUUAGAAAGACGCCCGUCAACUUUCAGGCUACCAGAGAAGACACCGACUGACCCAAAAAAUUACAUUACAAAUUCAGUAAAAUUAAAAUUUCUCACAUAAGUAAUUAUCAAUUGAAACAUUGACAUCCACCAUGCGAAAAAAUUAAAUCUUUUACAUUCUUAUUAUUACACACAACAUUUAUAGAUUAUUUUAUAGGUUUUAUUUAAGAUGCAGAACUGAGACAAGUCUUUCACGAUGCACAAGUUUGUGAUAAUCAUUAAAUCAAUAAAUCUCAACAUUGAAUUAAUAUGUGACAUCACAUCUCAUUUUAUCCAAUAUUGUGAGAGUUGUUAACCCAACUGUUAAAACAAAUUUGUGCCUGGUGAAAACUUGUUUCACUUAUGAACCAUAGACUUGUAACAUUUUCUCCAUAAUAAUACUCCCGUUCUUAUUACAAGGAAAAAAUUUGCUUUUUAGAUUCAUAAAAUGUUUGAUGUAUCUAGACAAUAUAACAAAUCAGAUACACAUUCUAUAAAUCUAAAAAACAAAUUUUUACUUAUAAUAAAAAUUAGAGGGAGUAGUAUUAAUCAACAAUCACCUCUCUUCUGUUUUUGUAUUGCCCUUUUUACCACUUCAAACAAUUUUGCUGCAGUUAUUGUUUUUGGAAUGUCGGAGGAGGAUAAACAGCCGGAAUUUUGUAAUUUUAUGACCUCUUCGUCCAUGUAAUUUGUAAAUUCUCGAGCUUUAUGGGCCAUUUCAUUCAUGUGUUUCCAAUUAGCAGGUGUGAUUAGAGGGAGUGACUUUUUUAAAGCGGCUAUCUCAGCAGCUUUGCCUAAGGUUCCAGCAAGACUGGCGGAUACAGAGACAUAAUCUGCAAAUAGAAAAGAUAGUAACAAGAGGAACAUAAAGGUUUUUUGGGUUCUCAUUUUCAUUGUUUUAGUACUAAUUGUGAUAUUGCUCUUUGGGAUUUGAUAAAAUGUGAGUUAAGGUUGGUCCUUUAUAUACAACUUCCAAAUUUGUCAUAUAUCUUGUGUUUGUUUGUGGAGCCAGUGGCGGACUUCAGAUAACACAUUGGUGAUUCCGAUAUCAGCUGCUAGUAAACAUGAUUGUUGAUUCUCAAUUAAGUGUGCUUUAAUUUCAAAUAAUAUGUCGAUCUCUAAUGUUAAUUCUCACGGAAAAUUCGGUUGUGAAGAAAAAAUCCACUUUGUGUUACUCCACAGGUUUCCCGACAAAAAUUAGUCAUCAUUAAUGACAGUGGAAACUUCGUAUCAAUAUUACGGUAAAAAAAAAAACAGAAAAUAAUACAAAUAUAAAGAAUUUUGAUUUUAGUCCUUAUAAACUUUUUUAAAAAAAACAUUUUUUUUACAAGGACUACAUAUUUCUAGAGAUCAUUUUCCUAUAUAAGCUUAAAUUAAAUCAACCACUUGUAGGAUUUUAAAUUAACCUUAGAUCAUAGAUACAUGAUUAUAGCAUAUCUACUUUAAUUAUAUAGAUCAAGAUCAAGGAAAGGAAUUAUGUACCUUGUAGUAUGAGAUUUUGAUUCAGAGAAGUAACUGAGGUUGAGAGCUCUUCUAUCUCUCACUGAUGAGAUAGAGUAGUUGUCAGAGUGUGUGUCUUAACAUGAUGGGAUGGUUAACAUAUAUACUCAUCAGUGAAGGCAGGGACCUCUCAACAGACUUACUAUGAGAAACAACCCAACCCAUCACGGCCCGUUCCUAAACACAGUCUGUUAAUAUAAUUCAUCAAUAUUAAGUGCUAAUAACAAUAGACCAUAAUUUAUAUUAAUAAUAAUUUUUAAUAAUUGAUUAUUGUCAAUCCAUAAUUGAUUAAUUAAAUAAUUAAUCUAACAAUCUCCCACUUGAAUGACAAUGAUCAAUUAUUAAAAGAAUGUGAAUUUUAAUACUAGAAUUUCAAUUAUGGUCAUAGCACUUAUUCACAAAAACAAAAGUAAACUUCAACAUUGCAGAAAAUGAAUCCGAUAGGGAAAACAUAUCAUACAAGUCAAAGACUUACUUAAUUAAAUGAUGAAUUUAGGGUAUUAUAUUUCAAAUGAUAAUAAUAUGUUGUUAAGGAUGGCUCAAGCAUAUAAAAUGCUAUAACAAACUCCCACUAACCCAAAAUAUAGAAGACUUAAUCAAAUAUAUACAAGUCUGUCGUUAGUGGUUCUGCCAAUGAGUUUUGAAUUUUAUAAAAGUCAUAGAAUAUCCACAUAGGUCAAGUAAUUACUAGCUUAUAGGGAUAGCCUAUUAAGAGAAUAAUUACUUUUACUCAAAAUCAAUAAAUGUUCAACAACGUUUGACAUUCAAUUAAUCCAAAUUUUAGCAAAAAUUGUGACUAUGAAAAUCCAUAAAGAAAUAGGAGACCGGAGAAUCUCCAAUUGGAUUAACACAACCAUUUAGUUUAAAGAAAAUAAGAUACGGAUUAAUGUGGCCACAAGAAUGUCAAUAAUGAACAAAUUAUGAUUAUGCAAUUCAUAAGUACUUUAAGAACACAAUAUCAUACUCGAUAGGAGUAUUGAUAUUAUACGUAGUACUUACUAUUUAUGACCUUAUAGAAUGUGUAAUGUUGGUAAAAGAGAAAACACAAUAUAUUUGCAUGCUAAGAGAUAAUUGUGCAUUUUCCAACAGAAUUGACUUAAGCAUAUAAUUAUGAUGCUUACUGAGAUCAGAGAAUUUAUGUAUAUCUCAAUAUAGUAGAAUGAGACAGAAUUUUAAAGUCUCGUAAGCUAUGCCAUAUUUUAUUUAGCGCGCAAAAGUGUAUGGCAAGAGUGAGAUUAUAACUUUAAGUUUUGUGUUUAUAUCAUUGUGUACAUAUUUUCAUUGAUCUCACAUAUAUGAACAAUAGUGAAAUUUCUUAUUUCAGCUCAUAGUAUAUAAUAUUAUGUACACACUCCCACCGAUCCCACAUAUAUAAACAAGAAUGAGUGGAAUUUUCUUUAGUGUUUUCAUUAGUGAUCACUGAUAUGCAAAUAUUAUAAUAUGUAAUAUUUAACAGUGGGAUACUUAUUUGCUAGUGCAAAAGUCUCUAUAUACAUGUGUGGUUAUAUCAUUUUAUUUUGAAAAGAAAAGAAUACUUUUUAAACUUUCGAGGAGUUGACUGCACAAACUCCAAUGCCAAAUUACUAUUUUUGCAUCCUUAACCAGUGUCCCAGGGGCACUGUUUAGCAUUUUCCUUUUUUAAAAGUCUGUACAGCUGGUGCUUCGGCCUUCGUGUUUGCUUCUUGCAAGUGGUUGAUUUAAUUGAAUAUUUCAGAGCUAGCUAGUGGUUCUUUUUGGAAGGAAUUGUGGGUAUAUGUCUCGUUAUUUAAUAGCCCACUGUUUUUUUGUUCAAACUCAACCACAUAUUUUGCACAUGAAGAUAGCAGAAUUACUAAUACAAGUGGUAACUCAAUGAUAAUAUAAAAUCCAAUAUAUACAAAACUUUUCAAUGGCAGAUUUUUUUAUCAAGUGUUGGAUUUAAUGGUUAAUCAUAUAUUCUGCAUUUAGAAUUAAGGAGAUUGCUAAUUUUUACUUAACAGUUUAUAAGGCAAAAUCUCUUUAUACAAAAUAAAAUUCUUAAAAGAAUAUUUAUAAACAAUGUAACCUUCAUAUAAAGUGUAUGAUGAUUAUAUAUAAAAUAUUUUAUAAUCAUAUGAGUGAGAUUAAGUCUCUAAUAUUAUAAAAUAGGAUAUGAGAGUAUAUAUAAAAAAUUUAAUAACUCAGUCAAAAAACUCAAAUGCUACAAUUAUAAACACACAUUUGAGAAAUAGUUUAAUUUGGUUACACGCAGCGGAAAAGUAUGAGACUUACAUUUUAUUAGUGUUAUUGAGGAUAUAUGAGAAAAUAGUCAUUAACUUCCAUAAGUGUUGAAAAUAACAAUAUUAUGAAAUAUGUCAAAUGUAGUGAAAAUAAAAUAAAAAAUUGAAUAUCUCAAAUGUACAAUUUAAAACCAUUUAAAAUAAUAACAUAAAAUAAAAAGAAUUUUUCUUGAUAGAGUUGUUAAGCAUUUGAGAUUUUGACAUAUUGCGUUUACAAAAUGAGUUUGCAAAAAAUAUAUAAUGAUAUGGAAGUAUAUAAUAAUUUAUGAGAGAAGACUAUAAUUAAUAUCCUCAAUAUAAGUCUUUACGGUAGUUUUAUAUCUAGAAUUAUGAAACAAAUAUAUAUAUAUAUAUAUAUAGGGGAUACUUCAAGUGAGAGGAGUGUCUUAUUAUGAGAGAUGAGAGGAUUGAAUAAAGACCCUUGGAUUAAAUUAAAUGGUUCCGAUUUAAUUGCUCAUUAAAAAAUAAAAUCCUCCCUCUGUAGUUUAUACGGGCGCAUCAUCUUCCUCCGUUCUACCAUCUUCCUGUAUCAUACAAAUCCACAUCCAGUUCUUGCUGUAAAAUUAAGAUGAAUUGAUCACUUUUAUUACUAUUAUUUAAUGGAUAAGUUUUGUAUCUGUGUGGAAAUCAUCUUUCCCAUUCUAAUCUUUUAUUUCAAUUUGCAAUACCUGUCUUCAUUCCCCAUGGUUACGAAAACCAGCAAAAAGUCUUAAGAAUCUUUGGUGAAAACUAACUGGUAACCCUAGUAAAAGCUUCCGCAACGGCGAAAUAUGGUUGAUUACAACAGACUAACACGAUCCUAUUAGAUGGCGGUGAUGGCUUUCAAAAGGGGAUCUUCCGCUCUUCUAAUCGAAAAACUUGAAUACCCAAUUUGUUAUACCCAUGGUUUACGAUUAACAGAAAGAUGCUGCUUAUUUGGCAUUGUUGCCGGGUUUUUGGUUUUCAUUUCACUGCAGAAAUCAAGAAGUAAAGGAAGGUCACAAACUGUGAUACAAACAAACAACAUGUGCAUAUUUUGGUGACUAAUUACAUCCAACCGUUGAUUUGAAUCUGAUGGUCAUAAAUCCAUCCUCUCAUCUCUUACAAUAAGACACUCCUCUCACUUGAAGUGUCCCAUAUAUGGGGAUACUUCAAGUGAGAGGAGUGUCUUAUUAUGAGAGAUGAGAGGAUUGAAUAAAGACCCUUGGAUUAAAUUAAAUGGUUCCGAUUUAAUUGCUCAUUAAAAAAUAAAAUCCUCCCUCUGUAGUUUAUANNNNNNNNNNNAUUAAAAGUUUGAAAAUAUUUUAAAUAAAUAUUCAACUAUUUCUCUAUCACAUAAUGAUCGUGUUGAGUAACGUCACACCGAUAGGGUUAUGUCCGUCACUUAACAAAAUCAAGGGAUAGAUGACAAUCCAUUUUUUUUAAAGGUUUAAAUAAUUCAUUAAUUAAAAUUAGGAUAAUAUUGGAUUGCAAAAUUAAGAUAGUAGCUACAUGCGCUAUAAUAUAUUUAGUAAAAUUUCUUACUUAUCGUAAUCUCGGUAUUAAGGAUAGUAAGUAAGAAGUAUAACAUUUCAAUGUACGGUUUUAUGUCACAACAUUUUAAUAGUGACAGAGUAUUUGAAAUAUAAGUAUAUAAAAUUAAAGUACAUUGAGUAAUAACGAAUAUUAUAUUAACAACAACACACCGAUAGGGUAUGAUUGUUGUCAGUACACUUUGCAUAAUUGUAUCCACGAUAGGUGAGAUUACAAUUAUACAAAUCAUUAAUGUUUAAGAGUAUUUUAAUUUACUCAAUUUAAUUAAAAGAAUAUGAUAAAAUAAUACGAUGCAUAAACAAUCUAUUUAAUUUACUCAAUUUUAGUCAUAUUCAAGUAAUAGAAAAACAUGCUUAAGAGUAUUUUAAAUUAGCACAUUAUAAAUAUGACUUUAUAAUUUAUAUACGAAAGAGUGUGAUAGCAAGAGUUAUUAUUUAAAAUAAAAGUGUGUAAUGUAGUUCUUGUAUUUUAUCCAGAAUAGAACUCUUAGAAUAAGGUUUUAAAUACUCCCACUAUAACUUUAAAUAUAAAUUGAAAAUAGAGUAUUAUUGUAAAAAAACAGUAUAUAAUAAUUAGAGUUCUAUUUAGAAUAUUGUGGAAAAAGAAUUCCACUUUUAUAUACAUAAUUCCAUGACAUAAGAGAAGAAGAAAUAAAUUUCUUCAUAUAUGCAAUAACAAUUAAUGGGUCACAAGAGGUUAAAGAAUUUGAUUAAAUUGUGACUAACCUCAUAAAGUGUGAUAUUCAUCCUUGUCUUUAGAGUCAUUGGCUUUUGAUGAUUUGGCGAGAAUACCAUUUGAUAACAUCAUCUCAGAAUAUCCAUGCAUAAAGAAUAAGCCAUUAAAAUAUAUAUGAGACUCUAAUUAUAAAUUAAAAUAAUUUACUUAAAUAUUUGGUUACAAGGAUGAUAAUAGUUUUCAAAUUGCCUCAAUUUUUUUAAUAAACUUGUUUUGAUGAUAUUUUACUUGAUAAACAACAAUGAGGCGUAUAAAUUUUAAUUCAUACUUAGAAUUUUAGCAUAAAANNNNNNNNNNNNNNNNNNNNNNNNNNNNNNNNNNNNNNNNNNNNNNNNNNNNNNNNNNNNNNNNNNNNNNNNNNNNNUGUUAGAAAAUUAAGGACAAGUGUCUAACUUUAUAUUUGUCGCGAAAGAAUUGUUCAACUUUAAAUAUUUGGAUCUUUAUGCUAAAAUAAUAUCAAUUGAAGACCUUAACAAAUUGAGUAAAUACACAAUUGUCCAUAAUAAAACUCUCAAAAUAAUUUGAUUUUAAAUACUCCCAAAAUAGUUUUAAAUUUUAAAUGGAGUUAAUUAACAAGAAAUAAGAGAUUAAAGAGUUCUAAAAUUCAAAAUUAUUAUGGACAAUAGUUUAUUUUAUAUAUAUAAUUGCACAUUUUAUAUUUUCACGAAAGGAGUAUAUGCAACUUUCUCCUUAAUUAUAUGCAAUUAUAUAAUUCAAGUCACAUAAUUAGAUUACACUGACCUCAGAGAGUGUGACUUUCAUCCUUGUAUGUAUGGUCACUAAGCUUUAAUGACUUUAGCCAGAUUCCAGAAAGUAUUUUAUGACGUUAUCUCAAGCGGUUCAUAAAAUAAACAAAGAGAAAACCGUUAUAAAACUCUAUUUUAAUAAUUAAUACAAGGAUGUUACAAUUUAAUUUGCCUUAAGAAUUUACAAGUGGACAUUNNNNNNNAAUUUUAUAAUCAUAACACUUAAAAUAAAAUCUGCAUUAGUGUUACUGUUCUAAAAGAAAUUUUACAAAAUAUUUCAGACUCAAAUAUUGAGAAUAAAUUAUAUAAAAUAAAUUACAUAAGAAAUAACGAUUUGGAGUAUUCGUAACCAUAAACACGAAAAAGAGAUAUAUGCUAUCACUUAUCACUACUCAAAAUGUAAAUUAAAACAGUAGCUAUAAGAUGUAUCUAAGCAGCUCUAAUACCAAUUGUAGGAUUUUAAAUUAACCUUAGAUCAUAGAUACAUGAUUAUAGCAUAUCUACUUUAAUUAUAUAGAUCAAGAUCAAGGAAAUGAAUUGUGUACCUUGUAGUAUGAGAUUUUGAUUCAGAGAAGUAACUGAGGUUGAGAGCUCUUCUACCUCUCACUGAUGAGAUAGAGUAGUUG
rnacentral:lncRNA from 1 species